CACGUAGGGGACAAGCGUUGUUCGGAAUUACUGGGCGUAAAGGGCAUGUAGGCGGCCUUGUAAGCUUGGCGUGAAAGUCAUCGGCUUAACCGAUGGAUUGCGUCGAGAACUGCAGGGCUUGAAUCACGGAGAGGGAGCUAGAAUUCCAGGUGUAGGGGUGAAAUCUGUAGAGAUCUGGAAGAAUACCAGUGGCGAAGGCGAGCUCCUGGCCGAUGAUUGACGCUGAGGUGCGAAAGUGUGGGGAUCAAACAGG
rnacentral:rRNA from 1 species